rnacentral:RNase_P_RNA from 1 species
AGUCGAUCAGACAGUCGCCUCGCGCCUUGUGUGCGGGGAGGAAAGUCCGGGCUCCACAGGGUAGAGUGCCAGGUAACGCCUGGGGGGCGUGAGUCCACGGAAAGUGCAACAGAAAAUAUACCGCCAUUCUAUAUCAAUAUAUAGCCAUGGUAAGGGUGAAAUGGUGCGGUAAGAGCGCACCGCGUCGGUGGUAACAUUCGGCGGCUAGGUAAACCCCACUCGGAGCAAGGCCAAAUAGGGGAGUAAUGGUGCGACCCGUACCGCUCCCGGGUAGGCUGCUUGAGGCAUGUGGUGACACAUGUCCCAGAUGAAUGACUGUCCACGACAGAACCCGGCUUAUCGAUCGACUCAU